rnacentral:rRNA from 1 species
GUGAAUUGCAGAAUCCCGUGAACCAUCGAGUCUUUGAACGCAAGUUGCGCCCGAAGCCAUUAGGUUGAGGGCACGCCUGCCUGGGCGUCACGC